UCCUCCUUAGUAUAGGGGUUAGUAUGCCAGCUUGUCACGCUGGAGACGGGAGUUCAAGUCUCCCAGGGGGAG